rnacentral:rRNA from 1 species
GGGUGAGUAACGCGUGGACGAUCUACCCAAGGAUUCGGGAUAACCUUGCGAAAGCGGGGCUAAUACCGGAUAGUCCUGGCAUAUUGAACGAUGCCUGGUAAAGGUGGCCUCUGAUUCAAGCUAUUGUCUUUGGAUGGGUCCGCGUCCCAUUAGCUUGUUGGUAGGGUCAAGGCCUACCAAGGCGACGAUGGGUAGCUGGUCUGAGAGGAUGAUCAGCCACACUGGGACUGGAACACGGCCCAGACUCCUACGGGAGGCAGCAGUGGGGAAUAUUGGGCAAUGGGCGCAAGCCUGACCCAGCAACGCCGCGUGAGGGAAGAAGGUCUUCGGAUCGUAAACCUCAGUCAGGAGGGAAGAAGUGGGUCGUCUUUAACAGGGACGGCCUUUGACGGUACCUCCAGAGGAAGCACCGGCCAACUCCGUGCCAGCAGCCGCGGUAAUACGGAGGGUGCAAGCGUUAUUCGGAAUCACUGGGCGUAAAGCGCACGUAGGCGGCUUUGCAAGUCAGGUGUGAAAGCCCUCGGCUCAACCGAGGAAUUGCACUUGAAACUGUAGAGCUGGAGUUCGGGAGAGGGUGGCGGAAUUCCAGGUGUAGGAGUGAAAUCCGUAGAUAUCUGGAGGAACACCAGAGGCGAAGGCGGCCACCUGGACCGAAACUGACGCUGAGGUGCGAAAGCGUGGGGAGCAAGCAGGAUUAGAUACCGUGGUAGUCCACGCCGUAAACGAUGGAUGCUAGAUGCUGGGUGUGUAAGACAUCCGGUGUUGUAGUUAACGCGUUAAGCAUCCCGCGUGGGGAGUUCGGUUGCAAGGAUGAAACUCAAAGAAAUUGACGGGGGCCCGCACAAGCGGUGGAGUAUGUGGUUUAAUUCGAUGCAACGCGAAGAACCUUACCUGGGCUUGACAUCCCGGGAAUCCCCUGGAAACAGGGGAGUGCCCUUUGGGGCACCCGGUGACAGGUGCUGCAUGGCUGUCGUCAGCUCGUGCCGUGAGGUGUUGGGUUAAGUCCCGCAACGAGCGCAACCUUUGUCCUUAGUUGCCAUCAGGUAAAGCUGGGCCCUCUAGGGAGACUGCCGAGGUGAACUCGGAGGAAGGUGGGGAUCACGUCAUAGUCAUCGAUGGCCCUUACGCCCAGGGCUACACACGUACUACAAUGGUGGGCACAAAGGGAAGCCAAGCCGCGAGGUGGAGCCAAUCCCAAAAAGCCUACCCCAGUU